rfam:Vigna angularis cultivar Jingnong 6 chromosome 1, whole genome shotgun sequence.
ACGCACCCUGUAUCGUAGGCCCCUCCGAUAACGUGGAGAGGCCUUUGAGCUAUUGUGCGUAAAGUGAGAGCUGAUUCGUCAGCAGGCAGCCAGACAACUGCCGUGGUGGAUCCACAGAUGAACGGAUCUUUGUUAAUGCUGUUUGUCUACUAAUUCCACCACACAUCU